rnacentral:misc_RNA from 1 species
GAUGAAGAACGUAGCGAAAUGCGAUGAGUAAUGUGAAUUGCAGAAUUCCGUGAAUCAUCGAAUCUUUGAACGCACAUUGCGCCCCCUGGUAUUCCGGGGGGCAUGCCUGUCCGAGCGUCAUUGCAACCUUCAAGCGCGGCUUGUGUGUUGGGUCUCGUCCCCCGUGGACGGGCCCGAAAGGCAGUGGCGGCGUCCCGACAUGGUGCCCGAGCGUAUGGGAAUCCUCUUCCGCUCGAAUCGGCCCAUGCGGCGCUGGUCGUAACCAAAUUUUUUACCGGUUGACCUCGGAUCAGGUAGGGAUACCCGCUGAACUUAAGCAUAUCAAUAGCGGAGGA